rnacentral:rRNA from 4 species
AAAUUGAAGAGUUUGAUCAUGGCUCAGAUUGAACGCUGGCGGCAGGCCUAACACAUGCAAGUCGAACGGUAACAGGAAGCAGCUUGCUGCUUUGCUGACGAGUGGCGGACGGGUGAGUAAUGUCUGGGAAACUGCCUGAUGGAGGGGGAUAACUACUGGAAACGGUAGCUAAUACCGCAUAACGUCGCAAGACCAAAGAGGGGGACCUUCGGGCCUCUUGCCAUCGGAUGUGCCCAGAUGGGAUUAGCUUGUUGGUGGGGUAACGGCUCACCAAGGCGACGAUCCCUAGCUGGUCUGAGAGGAUGACCAGCCACACUGGAACUGAGACACGGUCCAGACUCCUACGGGAGGCAGCAGUGGGGAAUAUUGCACAAUGGGCGCAAGCCUGAUGCAGCCAUGCCGCGUGUAUGAAGAAGGCCUUCGGGUUGUAAAGUACUUUCAGCGGGGAGGAAGGGAGUAAAGUUAAUACCUUUACUCAUUGACGUUACCCGCAGAAGAAGCACCGGCUAACUCCGUGCCAGCAGCCGCGGUAAUACGGAGGGUGCAAGCGUUAAUCGGAAUUACUGGGCGUAAAGCGCACGCAGGCGGUUUGUUAAGUCAGAUGUGAAAUCCCCGGGCUCAACCUGGGAACUGCAUCUGAUACUGGCAAGCUUGAGUCUCGUAGAGGGGGGUAGAAUUCCAGGUGUAGCGGUGAAAUGCGUAGAGAUCUGGAGGAAUACCGGUGGCGAAGGCGGCCCCCUGGACGAAGACUGACGCUCAGGUGCGAAAGCGUGGGGAGCAAACAGGAUUAGAUACCCUGGUAGUCCACGCCGUAAACGAUGUCGACUUGGAGGUUGUGCCCUUGAGGCGUGGCUUCCGGAGCUAACGCGUUAAGUCGACCGCCUGGGGAGUACGGCCGCAAGGUUAAAACUCAAAUGAAUUGACGGGGGCCCGCACAAGCGGUGGAGCAUGUGGUUUAAUUCGAUGCAACGCGAAGAACCUUACCUGGUCUUGACAUCCACGGAAGUUUUCAGAGAUGAGAAUGUGCCUUCGGGAACCGUGAGACAGGUGCUGCAUGGCUGUCGUCAGCUCGUGUUGUGAAAUGUUGGGUUAAGUCCCGCAACGAGCGCAACCCUUAUCCUUUGUUGCCAGCGGUCCGGCCGGGAACUCAAAGGAGACUGCCAGUGAUAAACUGGAGGAAGGUGGGGAUGACGUCAAGUCAUCAUGGCCCUUACGACCAGGGCUACACACGUGCUACAAUGGCGCAUACAAAGAGAAGCGACCUCGCGAGAGCAAGCGGACCUCAUAAAGUGCGUCGUAGUCCGGAUUGGAGUCUGCAACUCGACUCCAUGAAGUCGGAAUCGCUAGUAAUCGUGGAUCAGAAUGCCACGGUGAAUACGUUCCCGGGCCUUGUACACACCGCCCGUCACACCAUGGGAGUGGGUUGCAAAAGAAGUAGGUAGCUUAACCUUCGGGAGGGCGCUUACCACUUUGUGAUUCAUGACUGGGGUGAAGUCGUAACAAGGUAACCGUAGGGGAACCUGCGGUUGGAUCACCUCCUUACCUUAAAGAAGC